GAUGAACGCUGGCGGCGUGCCUAAUACAUGCAAGUCGAGCGAACGGACGAGAAGCUUGCUUCUCUGAUGUUAGCGGCGGACGGGUGAGUAACACGUGGAUAACCUACCUAUAAGACUGGGAUAACUUCGGGAAACCGUAGCUAAUACCGGAUAAUAUUUUGAACCGCAUGGUUCAAAAGUGAAAGACGGUCUUGCUGUCACUUAUGGAUGGAUCCGCGCUGCAUUAGCUAGUUGGUAAGUUAACGGCUUACCAAGGCAACGAUGCAUACCAGACCUGAGAGGGGGAUCGGCCACACUGGAACUGAGACACGGUCCAGACUCCUACGGGAGGCAGCAGUAGGGAAUCUUCCGCAAUGGGCGAAAGCCUGACGGAGCAACGCCGCGUGAGUGAUGAAGGUCUUCGGAUCGUAAAACUCUGUUAUUAGGGAAGAACAUAUGUGUAAGUAACUGUGCACAUCUUGACGGUACCUAAUCAGAAAGCCACGGCUAACUACGUG
rnacentral:rRNA from 1 species